GGCAGAGCCUGUGCCCCAGAGAAGCCUUCACCCAGUCAGAGUAGAAACAGAACGUUAAGGCAUCUCCAUUCCCUCCAUCGUGGACUGUGCCGAGAUCCAUUCAUAGGAAUCCUCAGAAGUUUAUAGAGGGUUGGAAUACUAGACCCCCACCAAGGUUGCCAAUCAAAAUUUUACCUUUGUAUUGGCCUUUUCCCCUUCCUUGUUUUACUCUCCUCUCACUCCUUCUCUCUGGAGUCAAGAUUCUGGUCAACUAGAAGGACCUGAACUCAAACUGAGCCCUUGGAAGAGAAAACAGACUAAAACCAUGGUGAUAAGAACAUCUCCACCCUACAAAACGUAGCAUCCUGAAAGGGGACUGCUUAUUUAUCUGAUGACAGAAGGAUUGCAUUGUGGUGAAGUGAUGAUCAGACCAGGCAUACAAAGUGCUUAUGCUUUUCCAGGCUGUCAUGAGUGGAGGGUUGUGAUAAGGAACAUGCAAAAGUUGAAGUGUUAGAUAUCUAAGUUUCUUAAAUCUGCCAACUCAAGUCAUAUGGAGCAAACCAGGAGCUUCCAUGGCUGAGUUAAAGAUAUUCAUAUUUCUUGAAUAUAAGAUAAGAAUACUAUGGAGAAAACCAAGUCAUGGAUUUAAUCAUGAGUGGCAAGGCUCAAAAAAUACUGAACACAUAAUUUUUAAAAACAUUUUAUGCCAAGUCCUCAGGCCUCUAAGGAAAAUAGUACAAGUCAGAGGUCUGUGGUUGGGUCAUUCUACUAGAUUACUGUGAGGAUCUGGAACCUCCAAAUUUCUCAGUAAUCCCCUGGACAGGGUGAAGGACUUUAACCCCUGCCACUUGUUGGAAGAAAGCAGUGCAAGAUACGGCUUGCCUUUGUCAGGACCCAUGUAUGCUUCUGUCUGCUUCUGCUUAUUGCCUCUUGGACCAAUAAUUAGAGUCACUUCUCAGCACAUACCACCAGGACAAGAUAAUUCCUGCUGUAAGGAAAGGCCUUAUUUGUAGAAUAAUUGGAGUUCCUAGGGAAUAAAGACAAGAAGGAAAACAGAGGAACACAUGAGGGAAGAGAACUUAGUGAUGCUGGACUUGUGAUCAGAAUGAAAGACGUCAUAGGGAGAAAUGUAUUGACAUGAGGAUAUUUCUUUAUGAAUUGUGCUUAAUUUUCUUACCUGGGAGAAAUGAAGCUGGCCGUAACACUCAUCUAGGAUGGUUGUUAACUUAUGAACAUGAUACUGGCCUUACUGAAGACAAGGUGAUGUGCUGUGAUUAUCACAGUAUGGUACUGAAGAAGGACACAGAAGGCUACAACAAUAAUGAAAUGGUAGGCUUUGCCCAGCAUAAAGGCCUGGUUCUUAGAGGAGGGACACCAUCUGGACAGUGGUGGCUCUUCUAGCCAAUCAGCUGAUCAGAGAUAAAUAGAAGAUUUACUCCACUAGCUAGUUACUGGUUCUGAUGUCCUUGGAAAGCUGAAAGUAAGUCAUGCACUAAAGAGGUUGUCUAGAAUGUCUUCUGAUGCUUUGCGCCUAUAACUAGUGUAUCACAGGAACCCUAG
ensembl:lncRNA